rnacentral:sRNA from 1 species
AACGGAGAUACAAAAAGAUCACAAAA